GAUGAACGCUGGCGGUAUGCUUAACACAUGCAAGUCGAACGGACUCUUCGGAGUUAGUGGCGGACGGGUGAGUAACGCGUGAGAAUCUGGCUUUGGGUUCGGGACAACCACUGGAAACGGUGGCUAAUACCGGAUGUGCCGAGAGGUAAAAGAGAAAUUGCCUGAAGAUGAGCUCGCGUCUGAUUAGCUAGUUGGUGAGGUAAAGGCUCACCAAGGCAGCGAUCAGUAGCUGGUCUGAGAGGAUGACCAGCCACACUGGGACUGAGACACGGCCCAGACUCCUACGGGAGGCAGCAGUGGGGCAUUUUCCGCAAUGGGCGAAAGCCUGACGGAGCACUACCGCGUGAGGGAAGAAGGCUCUUGGGUUGUAAACCUCUUUUCUUAGGGAAGAACAAAAUGACGGUACCUAAGGAAUCAGCAUCGGCUAACUCCGUG
rnacentral:rRNA from 1 species